rnacentral:pre_miRNA from 14 species
AGCUCGAGACUCAAGGUGGCGCGCCCCAGGAAGCACCUAUCCCGGACGACCCCCAAAUGAAAUAUCCCCAAAGAGAGACCCUUUCUAAUGUCACGGGAAAUCGCGGACCCCAGACACAGAGAGACCA